rnacentral:rRNA from 1 species
UGUGGUCAAGCUACAAAGAGCCUACGGUGGAUACCUAGGCACACAGAGGCGAUGAAGGACGUGGAUACCGACGAUACGCUUCGGGGAGCUGGAAACAAGCGAUGAUCCGGAGGUCUCCGAAUGGGGUAACCCGGUAACUCUAACGCCAAUCCAUAACGUUAGAGGGCGAACCUGGCGAACUGAAACAUCUUAGUAGCCAGAGGAAAAGAAAGAAAACUCGAUUCCCUUAGUAGCGGCGAGCGAAAGGGGAACAGCCUAAACCAACAGGCCUGCCUGUUGGGGUCGUGGGACAGCAACGUGGAAUUGAGCGGCUAGACGAAGUAGUGGAAUGCUACACCAGAGAAGGUGAAAGUCCUGUAGUCGAAAGCUUAACAAUCCUAGCUGUAUCCCGAGUAGUCCGGAGCACGUGGAAUUCCGGAUGAAUCCGCGAGGACCACCUCGUAAGGCUAAAUACUCCUGUGUGACCGAUAGCGCAUAGUACCGCGAGGGAAAGGUGAAAAGAACCCCGGAAGGGGAGUGAAAUAGAACAUGAAACCGUAGGCUUACAAGCAGUCGAAGCUCGAUUUAACGAGUGACGGCGUGCCUGUUGAAGAAUGAGCCGGCGACUUAUAGGUACUGGCAGGUUAAGGCAAAAAUGCCGAAGCCAUAGCGAAAGCGAGUCUGAAUAGGGCGUUUGUCAGUAUCUAUAGACCCGAACCCGGGUGAUCUAACCAUGGCCAGAAUGAAGCUUGGGUAACACCAAGUGAAGGUUCGCACCGACCGAUGUUGAAAAAUCGGCGGAUGAGCUGUGGUUAGGGGUGAAAUGCCAAUCGAACCCGGAGCUAGCUGGUUCUCCCCGAAAUAUGUUGAGGCAUAGCGGUUGUGAUUAUAGCAGGGGGGUAAAGCACUGAUUCGGUGCGGGCUGCGAGAGCGGUACCAAAUCGAGUCAAACUCUGAAUACCCUGUGUACACACAGCCAGUCAGACGGUGGGGGAUAAGCUUCAUCGUCGAGAGGGAAACAGCCCAGACCACCAGCUAAGGUCCCUAAAUCAUCACUAAGUGGCAAAGGAGGUGGGGAUGCUCAGACAACCAGGAGGUUUGCCUAGAAGCAGCCAUCCUUAAAAGAGUGCGUAAUAGCUCACUGGUCAAGCGUUCCUGCGCCGAAAAUGAACGGGACUAAGUGAUGUACCGAAGCUGUGGACUUACUACGUAAGUGGUAGGGGAGCGUUCUGCAUUAGUUUGAAGCACUAGCGUAAGCAGGUGUGGACGAGGCAGAAGUGAGAAUGUCGGCUUGAGUAGCGAAAACAUUGGUGAGAAUCCAAUGCCCCGAAACCCCAAGGGUUCCUUCGGAAGGCUCGUCCGCGAAGGGUUAGUCGGGACCUAAGGCGAGGCCGAAAGGCGUAGUCGAUGGAUAACUGGUCAAUAUUCCAGUACUCAUCUUGGUUUGUGCAGAGGGACGGAGAAGGCUAAAUCAGCCGGAUGUUGGUUACCGGUUCAACUGUCCGAGGUGUUGAGGAGCGGCGAAAACGCUCUGAGCUGAGGCAGGAGUACGACCCACUACGGUGGGGAAGUGAUUGAUGUCAUGCUUCCAAGAAAAGCUCUAAGCACGUUAAGCCAAGAUACCCGUACCCGAAACCGACACAGGUGGGGGGGUAGAGUAUACCAAGGGGCGCGAGAUAACUCUCUCUAAGGAACUCGGCAAAAUGGCCCCGUAACUUCGGGAGAAGGGGUGCCACCGAGAGGUGGUCGCAGUGAAGAGGCCCAGGCGACUGUUUACCAAAAACACAGGUCUCCGCUAAGUCGUAAGACGAUGUAUGGGGGCUGACGCCUGCCCAGUGCCGGAAGGUUAAGGAAGCUGGUCAGCGCAAGCGAAGCUGGCGACCGAAGCCCCGGUGAACGGCGGCCGUAACUAUAACGGUCCUAAGGUUAACGAACGCUAGCCUUAGUAAAACUGAACCAUAUGCGGGAAAAUCCUCUGACAGCUUUUCACUACUCGUUCAGCGAGGCACUGAACUCGAAAGAGUUUUAGAAAUUAAAGUGCUGCGGUGCUGUUCAGUCAAAAUGUGAAAGACAUGGGGAUAAUCCGCAGGAAAGGCCUAGAAGUUUCUAGGAAUCCUCAGAGACUUGAUGUUCAGGUGUGACAUAUGAAUUUGGAUGCCCAGUGGAUUGUUGGUUUCGUCGAUGGUGAAGGGUGCUUUCAUGUGGGAGUCAACCCUCACUCUGAUAUGGCAACAGGCUUUCAGGUACUUCCUGAGUUUACUGUUGUUCAACAUCGACGAGAUGUGAAAGUUCUCUAUGCACUUAAGGCUUAUUUCAAUUGUGGUGUUGUUCGCGUCAAUCAUGGCGAUCGCAUGGCCUAUCGAGUUCGUAGCAUAGAGCACUUAGCAGACCGUAUUUGUCCUUUCUUUCUUAAGCAUCCUCUGAAAACGAGUAAGAACAUAGAUUUCUUAAAGUUCAGGGAUGUUGUACUUCUGUGUCAAACAGGUGCUCAUUUAACAAAUGACGGUCUAGCCAAAAUCCAAAAACUGGCAUCUCAAAUGAAUCGUGGUCGCACAAGGUAAAGUCCAGCUUUAUCGGAAACGGUAAAGAGUUACUGAGCGAAAUUCCUUGUCGGGUAAGUUCCGACCCGCACGAAAGGCGUAACGAUCUGGGCGCUGUCUCGGAGAGAGGCUCGGCGAAAUAGAAGUGUCUGUGAAGAUGCGGACUACCUGCACCCGGACAGAAAGACCCUAUGAAGCUUUACUGUAGCCUGGAAUUGGGUUCGGGCUUUGCUUGCGCAGGAUAGGUGGGAGACGUUGAAGUAUCCCUUGUGGGGGAUAUGGAGUCGCCGGUGAGAUACCACUCUGGCAAGGCUAGAAUUCUAACCUUCUGCUGUCAGCCAGCGAAGGAACAGUUUCAGGUGGGCAGUUUGACUGGGGCGGUCGCCUCCUAAAUGGUAACGGAGGCGCGCAAAGGUUCCCUCAGGCUGGUCGGAAAUCAGCCGUAGAGUGCAAAGGCAUAAGGGAGCUUGACUGCAAGACCUACAAGUCGAGCAGAGACGAAAGUCGGCCUUAGUGAUCCGACGGUUCCGCGUGGAAGGGCCGUCGCUCAACGGAUAAAAGUUACUCUAGGGAUAACAGGCUGAUCUCCCCCAAGAGUUCACAUCGACGGGGAGGUUUGGCACCUCGAUGUCGGCUCAUCGCAACCUGGGGCGGUAGUACGUCCCAAGGGUUGGGCUGUUCGCCCAUUAAAGCGGUACGUGAGCUGGGUUCAGAACGUAAAUCAUUGCGUCACUUCACAGUAAUGUGGAGCAGCAACCCGACUAAAAUCGGUAGAAUCUUAAUCAGUGACGAACGGCUGGUUAAGACAAUACCGAGGGUAAGCAAGAGUCUCGUGACAGAUGAUUUGACGCUGAGUUACAUUGCUGGUUUUUUGGAUGGUGAUGGUUGUAUUAGCCUGCAACUAGUGCGGCGUAAGGAUUACAUCCUUGGCUACCAAAUUCGUGCUAGUAUCACUUUCUUUCAGUCUUCUUCUCAUCGUUCCUUCUUGGAGUGGUUGAAGUCCAUUUUCCAAGUGGGGUUUGUGAGAGAUCGAAAGGAUGGCUUAAGUGAAUAUGCCAUUGUUGAUGCACCAUCUGUCCUGAAAGUGCUGCUGGCUCUAGGCAGCUACCUUAAACUCAAGAAGCCACAAUGUGAUUUAGCAAUUACUGUUCUGCAGGAGCUUGUUCAAUCACGGCGAUUAACGCCAGAACAAUUCCUGAAGCUUGCUCAGCAAGUAGAUCAAUUUGGCGAGCUGAAUGCUUCCAAAAGGCGUUCGAUUCGCUCUGAGCAGGUAGAACAGUUCUUGAGAUCACGACAACUCUUGAUCCCGUAGAGACUGAAGCCUAGGCUUGAGUUAGCCAUCAAGCGUAAGCUGAGAUGCUCUGAGACUGUCAGAGACAUCAAACGUCGGCUCCUGAUUCGUCAAUGGCGAGAGUCAGGAUGAAGAUAUAGUCCAUGCUCGUAGUGAUACGAGAUCAACAUGCGUGAGACAGUUCGGUCCAUAUCCGGUGCAGGCGUAGGAGCAUUGAGAGGAGUCCUCCUUAGUACGAGAGGACCGGGAGGAACGCACCUCUGGUGUACCUGUUAUCGUGCCAACGGUAAACGCAGGGUAGCCAUGUGCGGAGUGGAUAACCGCUGAAAGCAUCUAAGUGGGAAGCCCACCUCAAGAUGAGUGCUCCCAUGGCGUAAGCCAGUAAGGUCACGGGUAGAACACCCGUUGAUAGGCUCUCGAUGGAAGUCCAGUAAUGGAUGAAGUCUAGGAGUACUAAUAGACCGAGGGCUUGACCUC